AAUUUCAGGCUUUAUCAUAGAUACCCUCUGAAUUUCAGUCCUACUUCCAUCACUGCUACUCACUGCAUUUUGAGGACAAUCCAGACUAUCAAUACUUAAAUUUACGUACAAUCCUAGGCUGUGGUCCUGCGACGUGCUUGAGUGCUUCACACGAACUUCCUCCACCUAUGAAACUGCUUCAAUGCAUAAAAGUCUACUAUACGAGUGCCUGUGGCGCGAAGGCAGGCUUCCAGCUGAUAUUAGUUGCAUGAUAAGCAUGAUUGACCCACAGAUAAUCUGCAAGGCAUUUUCUUCAUACAAGAAAUUUCCUGACUACGGACCAACAACUCCUGGGAAUUAUAAGGAAGUGUUGGUAGGCUCCUUUUUUGAAAUUAACAUAUAUGAUAACAAACUUGUUUCCUGCAAGAUUUAUUAUUCAUUUCGUUAUGUGACUUCAGCACGUCACUUUGUAUUUACUUGAUCCAUCAUUUGUGGUCCUUGGUUCUUUCUGCAACUUAUUACACUAUUAUUUAUCUGGUUGUU